UACGUAGGGGGCAAGCGGUUGUCCGGAAUCAUUGGGCGUAAAGCGCGCGUAGGCGGCCCGGUAAGUCACUUGUGAAAAUCUCCAGGCUUAACUUGGAAACUGCCAUUGAUACUAUCAGUCUUGAAUACCGUGGAGGUCAGCGGAAUAUGUCAUGUAGCGGUGAAAAUGCUUAGAUAUGACAUAGAACACCAAUUGCGAAGGCAGCUGGCUACACGAAUAUUGACACUGAUGCACGAAAGCGUGGGGAUCAAACAGG
rnacentral:rRNA from 1 species